rnacentral:rRNA from 1 species
CUGGCGGCGUGCCUAAUACAUGCAAGUCGAGCGAAUGGAUUAAGAGCUUGCUCUUAUGAAGUGAGCGGCGGACGGGUGAGGGACACGUGGGUAACCUGCCCAUAAGACUGGGAUAACUCCGGGAAACCGGGGCUAAUACCGGAUAAUAUUUUGAACUGCAUGGUUCGAAAUUGAAAGGCGGCCUCGGCUGUCACUUAUGGAUGGACCCGCGUCGCAUUAGCUAGUUGGUGAGGUAACGGCUCACCAAGGCAACGAUGCGUAGCCGACCUGAGAGGGUGAUCGGCCACACUGGGACUGAGACACGGCCCAGACUCCUACGGGAGGCAGCAGUAGGGAAUCUUCCGCAAUGGACGAAAGUCUGACGGAGCAACGCCGCGUGAGUGAUGAAGGCUUUCGGGUCGUAAAACUCUGUUGUUAGGGAAGAACAAGUGCUAAUUGAAUAAGCUGGCACCUUGACGGUACCUAACCAGAAAGCCACGGCUAACUACGUGCCAGCAGCCGCGGUAAUACGUAGGUGGCAAGCGUUAUCCGGAAUUAUUGGGCGUAAAGCGCGCGCAGGUGGUUUCUUAAGUCUGAUGUGAAAGCCCACGGCUCAACCGUGGAGGGUCAUUGGACACUGGGAGACUCGAGUGCAGAACACGAAAGUGGAAUUCCAUGUGUAGCGGUGAAAUGCGUAAAGAUAUGGAGGACCACCAGUGGCCAACGCGACUUUCUGGUCUGUAACUGAAACUGAGGGCCGAAAGCGUGGGGACCAAACAGGAUUAAAUACCCUGCUA